UACGUAGGGAGCGAGCGUUAUCCGGAAUUAUUGGGUGUAAAGGGUGCGUAGACGGGAAAACAAGUUAGUUGUGAAAUCCCUCGGCUUAACUGAGGAACUGCAACUAAAACUAUUUUUCUUGAGUGCAGGAGAGGUAAGUGGAAUUCCUAGUGUAGCGGUGAAAUGCGUAGAUAUUAGGAGGAACACCAGUGGCGAAGGCGACUUACUGGACUGUAACUGACGUUGAGGCACGAAAGUGUGGGGAGCAAACAGG
rnacentral:rRNA from 1 species